GACGAACGCUGGCGGCGUGCCUACUACAUGCAAGUCGAACGCAGUGGGGACGGGUGAGUAACACGUGGGUAACCUCCCAUCAGAGGGGAUAACACUUGGAAACAGGUGCUAAACCGAUACUGAUGGCUGACCCCGCGGUGCAUUAGCUAGUUGGUGAGGUAACGGCUCACCAAGGCCACGAGGCAUAGCCGACUUGCGAGGGUGAUCGGCCACACUGGGACUGAGACAAGGCCCAGACUCCUACGGGAGGCAGCAGUAGGGAGUCUGCGGCAAUGGACGAAAGUCUGACCGAGAAACGCUGCGUGAGUGAAGAAGGUUUUCGGAUCGUAAAACUCUGUUGUUAGAGAAGCGGUAUCUAACCAGAAAGCCACGGCUAACUACGUGCCAGCAGCCGCGGUAAUUC
rnacentral:rRNA from 1 species